rnacentral:rRNA from 1 species
AUAAUGGGUCAGCGACUUAUAUUCUGUAGCAAGGUUAACCGAAUAGGGGAGCCGAAGGGAAACCGAGUCUUAACUGGGCGUUAAGUUGCAGGGUAUAGACCCGAAACCCGGUGAUCUAGCCAUGGGCAGGUUGAAGGUUGGGUAACACUAACUGGAGGACCGAACCGACUAAUGUUGAAAAAUUAGCGGAUGACUUGUGGCUGGGGGUGAAAGGCCAAUCAAACCGGGAGAUAGCUGGUUCUCCCCGAAAGCUAUUUAGGUAGCGCCUCGUGAAUUCAUCUCCGGGGGUAGAGCACUGUUUCGGCAAGGGGGUCAUCCCGACUUACCAACCCGAUGCAAACUGCGAAUACCGGAGAAUGUUAUCACGGGAGACACACGGCGGGUGCUAACGUCCGUCGUGAAGAGGGAAACAACCCAGACCGCCAGCUAAGGUCCCAAAGUCAUGGUUAAGUGGGAAACGAUGUGGGAAGGCCCAGACAGCCAGGAUGUUGGCUUAGAAGCAGCCAUCAUUUAAAGAAAGCGUAAUAGCUCACUGGUCGAGUCGGCCUGCGCGGAAGAUGUAACGGGGCUAAACCAUGCACCGAAGCUGCGGCAGCGACGCUUAUGCGUUGUUGGGUAGGGGAGCGUUCUGUAAGCCUGCGA